AGUCGAACGGAAGUCGUUAUAAAAAGGAUUGAAGAUUUAUCUGAUUGAGAUUUUAUAACAAUGGCUUUAGUGGCGGACUGGUGAGUAACGCGUGAGCAACCUGCCUACUAGAGGGGAAUAACAGUGAGAAAUCAUUGCUAAUACCGCAUAUGCCAUGAACAUCACAUGAUGAAAAUGGGAAAAGAGUAAUCUGCUAGUAGAUGGGCUCGCGUCUGAUUAGAUAGUUGGUGGGGUAACGGCCUACCAAGUCAACGAUCAGUAGCCGGACUGAGAGGUUGAACGGCCACAUUGGGACUGAGAUACGGCCCAGACUCCUACGGGAGGCAGCAGUCGGGAAUAUUGCGCAAUGGAGGAAACUCUGACGCAGUGACGCCGCGUAUAGGAAGAAGGUUUUCGGAUUGUAAACUAUUGUCGUUAGGGAAGAUAAAAGACAGUACCUAAGGAGGAAGCUCCGGCUAACUACGUGCCAGCAGCCGCGGUAAUACGUAGGGAGCAAGCGUUAUCCGGAUUUAUUGGGUGUAAAGGGUGCGUAGACGGGACAACAAGUUAGUUGUGAAAUCCCUCGGCUUAACUGAGGAACUGCAACUAAAACUAUUGUUCUUGAGUGUUGGAGAGGAAAGUGGAAUUCCUAGUGUAGCGGUGAAAUGCGUAGAUAUUAGGAGGAACACCGGUGGCGAAGGCGACUUUCUGGACAAUAACUGACGUUGAGGCACGAAAGUGUGGGGAGCAAACAGGAUUAGAUACCCUGGUAGUCCACACCGUAAACGAUGGAUACUAGGUGUAGGAAAUGAUUUCAUUUUCUGUGCCGUCGCAAACGCAAUAAGUAUCC
rnacentral:rRNA from 1 species